rnacentral:misc_RNA from 1 species
AUGAAGAACGCAGCGAAAUGCGAUAAGUAAUGCGAAUUGCAGAAUUCAGUGAAUCAUCGAAUCUUUGAACGCACAUUGCGCCCGCCAGCACUCUGGCGGGCAUGCCUGUUCGAGCGUCAUUUCAACCAUCAAGCCCCCAGGGGCUUGUGCUGGGGCCCUGCGGCUGCCCGCAGGCCCUGAAAACCAGUGGCGGGCUCGCUAGUCACACCGAGCGCAGUAGCACAUCUCGCUCAGGGCGUGCGGCGGGCUCCUGCCGUGAAACCCCCCACUGUAACCCCAAAGGUUGACCUCGGAUCAGGUAGGAAUACCCGCUGAACUUAAGCAUAUCAAUAAGCGGAGGA